GUUGAAACACCUGUUCUCGUAAGAUCACAGAAGUUAAGCAAUGUUGGGCUUCGUUAGUACUUAGAUGGGUGACCCCUUGGGAAUAACAGG